AGGUGCUGGAUUAGCUGCUGGAUUAGCUCUUCGAUUAACAACUUGCUGGAGGCUAUUCAAAUUAGCCACACCGUGGGAUGUAAGGAGCUCUCUGAUUGGUUGGUCAGACACAGGCUGUCUGCCAGCCUGGAUUUUUCUAGCUCAUAGCUUCGCCCUGCUACGAAGCGUGUGUGCUUGUACAAAGGCCGUUCAGCCUCGGGAUUUACACUCGGCUCGACACGGAUAUGUGAAGAAUGAAGGGACCCUGCAGCGAAACGGAGAGCCAACCUCUGACUGAGUGCCUGUCUACACAGUCUGACCACCUGUUGAAGGGCUAUUUGAUGACGAUUUGGACUCCUCUGGGAGAUGAGGACACACCCACAUCUGUUCCAUACUGCAACCAUUGAUGGUGUUACAGCUCUGAGGCAGCUUUAGGCCAUCAGAUGCACACACUGGAAAACCAGCACCUGGGCCCUGUUUCAGAAAGCGAGUUUAGAAAACUCAGAGUUAAAAAUGAUACUCAGGGUUGAGUAACCCCGAACUGUCCAACUCGGAAUAUUCAGUUUCAGAAAGGCUGAUAACAAUUAGUUCAAUCAACACGGAGUUGCUUUAACCCCAAGUUAAGCGCGCGCACGAGGAUACGUAAAGCCCUGAUUAGUGGAGCACAGAUUAAGCGAGGCACCAUGGAGAUGGAGGGAAAGAAGGCGCGGUCAAUGUAUUUUACAGCGCUUGAGGCCGAAAUUCUGAUGGCAGCAUAUGCCAAUAACAUGCAAAUUUUGCGGAAAAAAAGUAACACAGCCUCAGCUGCAAAAGAAAGGGAGCAUGCAUGGCAAAACAUAGCCGACAGAGUCAAUGCGUGAGUGUUAAUUUAAACAUUGAUCUAGGGAUUUCCACCUAUUUAACACGUUAUUUUAUUAUAUUUCAUUUUAUUUUUUAUUUUAUACAUUUUAUUUUGUGAUGUGAUGUGAGCGCAGGUGCAACCCAACAGGCCCCAAACGUUCCUGGCAGCAAGUAAAAAUGAAAUAUAAAAAUAUAGUCCAAACAGGUAAGGUGUAAUUGUAUUAUGAGCCAUAGUGCUUGGUCUGUUUGUCCUAUGUAAAUCAAUUGCAGUUAGAGGCUACAUUAAUUUUCUUUCUGUAAGCACUUAUUGAAAUUAUCUGAGCACAUUACAAGUACAUAUUUGCUUACUCUGUAUGCUCAAAUGUGACCCGUUAUAGCCAACAGAAAAAAAGCGGAGGCCCGAAAAACAGGUGGGGGUCCUCCACCACCACCACUCACAGAGGCUGAGCAGUUGGCCCUCAGCCAAAACAGUGGGCGCCCUGUGGCUGAAGGCAUCUCUGCGGGGACAUCCUCUGAGUCAAUAACCCCGCAAGACACAAGUGCCUACAUAAGAGGUAAAUUCAAAAUAAUACAUGAUGUGCAUACAUCCUUUCUUCACAGUCACCUUUGCAGUGCACUCUUUACCAUAAUGAAUUAUUUUGUAGUGAAGUUAUUUUCCUACUGAUUUUGCCUUCCCUCAGUCUUGGUUGUCUUUGAGAGCAUAAUGACAAUGAAGUGUAAGGUUAUUGGUAUAUGUUUGUUAAUUGCCAUUUGGUCCCCUGUAAGUUAUAAGUGACCUGUAUAAACCUCAUAUUCUAUCAGUUGAUGGUGAUGGUGUACUGCAUCUGGUGCAGCCUCCUGUUGAGCCAGACCAACAUGCAGUUGUGAGUACUCUUAAUACUCCACAGAUUAUAUGAGUUUACAGUAGAACAGCAAUGUUGUUAAUGUCUUUACUACAGGAAAAUCAUGAAGAGACAUUGACAGCUGUUACAGAGGAGGAAGCAACAGAGACACUUUAUGAGAGUGAUGAUGGAAAUGCAGAGGAAGAGGGUCCAGCCACUUCUCCAACAAACCUUUCCUCACUCCCUGUAAAGCAGCUGUACAAGACCUAUUUGAUCAAGAAAAUAAAAAAAUGCGACUUGGAAAUGGAACACUUCAAGCAGCAGAUCCAAAAGACCAAGAUUGAGAUUUUACUGCUGGAACAUCAGUUAAGGAAUUCAUCAGCAGCUGUGGAGAGAUACAUUUGAAUAUCUUCUGGUUCCACUUUUCCUUACCUGGAAGCUGAGCAUUGCUGAUUUCUGACAAGGACACAAACCUCAGCACUUAUCAUGGGUGUUACAUCCUCCGUGCAGCAAUUCCAGGGAAAAUGAGAGAGCAACGAUCACUCAUUAAGACCAGCCAGAAAUCUGUCCCUUUCUGGCAGCUGUGAAAACUUCCAAUAAGAAAGUUUGCAUUCUUAGAACAAUGCUGGGUCGUGUGUGAUGUGUCAUUAUAUGAGGAUAUUACAUUUUGCCUUAAUUCUGCUCAAUUAAGUGUUUUGAUCGUUGAUCCAAUAUGGCAGCUUUGUGUUGUGCUGCAAGUUAAAACUCAUUGUCCUCAUGAGCACAGCAUCUAACAACUCUCCUUAAAAAAGUCAAUUGACUUUAACUGGACACAAUGGUUUCCAGUGGGAGAUACAUUCAUCACUCAUCCGUGACACUGGAGAAGUCACCUGAGUGAGUGAUAAAACAAUUUUUCAUGGAAAAUCCAGAGGAACUAAACUUUGUUGUUGUUUCUUUGGGCUCAAUUUUGCCUGAGGCUGAAAUUGAGCCCAAAAUGUUUUCUUCUUUCAGAAGAAAACAUGAGGACUUCUUUCAGAAGAAAACAUUUUGCCAAUAAUCAGAUAAAAAGAUUGUUGAACCAGGUGGUAUUCUCUGGAGUUUAAGACCAAAACUGAACUCAAACAGUGAAUUGACAUUAGACUGGAAUUCAUAAGAUGAAUAGAAAUACUGCUGAAGCUGAAUGAUACACACACACACACACACACACACACAUAUACAUAUAUAUAUAUAUAUAUAUA